CCUGUUUGAUUCUUCUGCUGGAGCGAGACCUGAUGCCGUUAGAAUCCUCAUUGUCCUCACAGAUGGGCAGUCUGGGGAUGCUUCAAGCUAUCCCAGUGUCACGGCACAGGCUGAUAGCAAGAACAUUACUAGAUACGCUAUUGGGAUUGGAAGUGCCUUUAGCAGUCAGUCAGCCCAAGAUGAGCUCAGGAGUAUCGCAUCUUCACCAGAAUCAGACUUUGUGUUUAGAGUGGACAACUUUGAGGCACUGGACAACAUCAGCAGCAGACUGGAGAAGAGCAUCAUGGUCAUAGAAGGGGUGGUCCCUACAACUUGUUCACCCCCUACACCUGAGCCACCAAUCCCUACAAGCCAAGG